rnacentral:rRNA from 1 species
AUAAAAAACCAAUGUCUUCGGACUCCUUGGUGAUUCAUGAUAACUUUACGAAUCGGAUGGCCUUGCGCCGGCGAUGGUUCAUUCAAAUUUCUGCCCUAUCAAUUUCGAUGCUAGGAUAGUGGCCUACCAUGGUUUCAACGGGUAACGGGGAAUUAGGGUUCUAUUCCGGAGAGGGAGCCUGAGAAACGGCUACCACAUCCAAGGAAGGCAGCAGGCGCGCAAAUUACCCAAUCCUCCGCACGGGAAGGUAGUGACAAUAAAUACUGAUACAGGGCCCUUUCGGGUCUUGUAAUCGAAAGAGUACAAUUUAAAUCCCUUAACGAGGAACAAUUGGAGGGCAAGUCUGGUGCCGAGCAGCCGCGGUAAUUCCAGCUCCAAUAGCGUAUAUUAAAGUUGUUGCAGUUAAAAAGCUCGUAGUUGAACUUUGGGUCUGGCUGACCGGUCCGCCUCACCGCGUGCACUGGUUCCGCCGGAUCUUUCCUUAUGGCAAACCGCAUGCCCUUUAGUGGGUGUGUU